AUGGAUCGCUCGCCUGCCAAGUUCGUCUUGCUCCUUAUGGCAGCGGCGACCUGGAGCUUCUUCCUCGUCGGCGACGCAGGCAAGGUCCAGCCUAGCUGCGUAGGGCGCGAGAGGGACGCGUUUCUGGCCUUCAAGCAAGGCAUCAAUGAUACCUACGACUACCUCGGGUCGUGGCGACAAGAGCGCCAAGAUUGCUGCCAAUGGGCAGGCAUCACCUGCGACAACGCAACCGGCUAUGUCGUCAAGCUGGAUCUUGGCGGAAGAGACUAUUUGGUCGGCCAGAUAAGUCCUUCCUUGCUUUCUCUAGAGCAUCUCGAAUACCUUGAUCUCCACCACACUGGGUUGCGUGGCCCUGAUGGCCGUGUUCCAGAGUUCUUGGGUUCCUUAAAGAACCUGAGGCAUCUUGAUCUGUCUUACACGUCUUCCUCCGGUAUGGUGCCUCCUCAGCUAGGAAACCUGUCAAAGCUGGAAUACCUUGAUUUAUCCUACAUAUAUUUCAACAAUAUGAGUAUGGUCUCAACAGACAUCUCAUGGUUAACCCGUCUACCUCUGUUGGUGCAUCUUCAUAUGAGUUAUAUCAAUCUCAGCUCAAUAGCCGAUUGGCCUCUUGUUGUGAAUAAGAUUCCAUCUUUGAAGUUGCUCAGUCUUUCUGAGUGCUCGCUUUCAAGUGCAAACCAGUCCCUCACACACCUAAACCUCACAAAUCUUCAGUACCUUGAUGUUCGUCCAACAGAUUACAGGGCUUGA
rnacentral:rRNA from 1 species